AUAGAUACAAGCUAGCGGCGGAUGGGGUGAGUAACGCGUGGGUAACCCUGCCCUUAAGUCUGGGAUUACCAUUUGGAAAACAGAUGCUAAUACCGGAUAAAAAGACUACUUUCGCAUGAAAGAAGUUUUAAAAAAGGACGGCGUAAGCUGUCGCUAAAGGAUGGACCUGCGAUGCAUUAGCUAGUUGGUAAGGUAACGGCUUACCAAGGCGAUGAUGCAUAGCCGAGUUGAGAGACUGAUCGGCCACAUUGGGACUGAGACACGGCCCAAACUCCUACGGGAGGCAGCAGUAGGGAAUUUUCCACAAUGGACGCAAGUCUGAUGGAGCAACGCCGCGUGAGUGAAGAAGGUUUUCGGAUCGUAAAGCUCUGUUGUUGGUGAAGAAGGAUAGAGGUAGUAACUGGCCUUUAUUUGACGGUAAUCAACCAGAAAGUCACGGCUAACUACGUGCCAGCAGCCGCGGUAAAU
rnacentral:rRNA from 1 species